rnacentral:rRNA from 1 species
CCUUUUCUUGCUUAUUCCGCCUAUAUACCGCCGUCUCCAGUCUACCCUGUAAAGGACCCAUAGUAGGCGAAAUUGGUACAGCCCCAGACGACAGGUCGAGGUGUAGCGUAUGAAAAGGGAAGAGAUGGGCUACAUUCAGUGACAGCACUGAAUACGGAGAGUCGAUUGAAAUAUUGACUUGAAGGUGGAUUUAGCAGUAAGCGGGGAAUAGAGCGCCCCACUGAAAUCGGCCCUGAAGCGUGUACACACCGCCCGUCACUCUCCCCGAGCAGAAAAACUCUUUACCUAAAAAGCCAAAAAAUGUAAAGGGGAGGCAAGUCGUAACAUGGUAAGUGUACCGGAAGGUGCACUUGGACAAAAAUAC